CAUGUAGGCGGAUAUGGAAGUCAGAUGUGAAAGCCCUUGGCUCAACCAAGGAAGUGCAUCUGAAACCACAUAUCUUGAGUAUGACAGAGGGAAGUGGAAUUCCCAGUGUAGAGGUGAAAUUCAUAGAUAUUGGGAAGAACACCGGUGGCGAAGGCGGCUUUCUGGGUCAUUACUGACGCUGAGAUGCGAAAGCGUGGGGAGCAAACA
rnacentral:rRNA from 1 species